AGUCCAGCAGUGGACAAAGAGAUAUCUUGUUGGUAGUAUUGUUCUUUUGUCAGUUAAGGGCAGAGUAGAUGGCAGUCCUUUGUUCUUCCUAGCUUGAUGCUUGGCUUGAUAGCCAAAGUUGUCUGAUACCUAGGACUCAUAA